AUUGAACGCUGGCGGCAUGCCUUACACAUGCAAGUCGAACGGCAGCACGGGAGCAAUCCUGGUGGCGAGUGGCGAACGGGUGAGUAAUGUAUCGGAACGUGCCCAGUCGUGGGGGAUAACGUAGCGAAAGCUACGCUAAUACCGCAUACGAUCUAUGGAUGAAAGCGGGGGACCGUAAGGCCUCGCGCGAUUGGAGCGGCCGAUAUCAGAUUAGGGAGUUGGUGGGGUAAAGGCCUACCAAGCCGACGAUCUGUAGCUGGUCUGAGAGGACGACCAGCCACACUGGGACUGAGACGCGGCCCAGACUCCUACGGGAGGCAGCAGUGGGGAAUUUUGGACAAUGGGCGCAAGCCUGAUCCAGCAAUGCCGCGUGCAGGAUGAAGGCCUUCGGGUUGUAAACUGCUUUUGUACGGAGCGAAAAGGCUCUCUCUAAUACAGGGGGCUCAUGACGGUACCGUAAGAAUAAGCACCGGCUAACUACGUGCCAGCCGCCGCGGUAAUAC
rnacentral:rRNA from 1 species